CCCUAUACAUAGAAAGAAGUGCUUUUCCACCGGUAUCAACAUUCUAUCUGGAAUCAGUAGCGAUAAUUGUUGUAUUGUGAGCCAGCCCCGUAAGACACUACGCACCUCCAAAUUAAAUAUGAUUUUUCCAAUCAUUUCAUUUAUACGACCUGCAAAUAAGAUAAGAUCUUGGCUCGCCCUACAAAAAAACAACUAUAUGCCCUAUAAACUUGCUUGCUUCUUCGAAUCUCGAAAUAACAUAUAGAAAGUGUUGAUGUGAUGAGACCAUUCUCGAUCGAUAAAUGCGAUAGGAGCCUAUGUGUUUCACGGGCAGCCGGCCAAUAGGGGAAGGUUGUGAAUCCGGCGAACCGACCGCUUUAAGAACGUGAUUGUCUUCUCUCACUCAGUUAUCAAUUGACAAAGAUGACCCAUUCUUUUUCGCCCUAAAAACAACAAUGGUAUGGUACUUUUUCUUCAAAUCUCGAUUGUGUGGGUGUCCGCUCAUGUUCACGUUACAUGCUAAUUCAGGCUUUCCUUGGAAAAACCAAGGACAACCCCUAUCUCAGUCUCCUUUCUCUUUUCGGGAGCAGAGCUGAAAAAGAUGGAGUUACCUGGAGAUGAGAUUGAUUUCUACGGAUAUGAAGGAUAGAAAUAUGCUAUUUGCUGCUAUUCCAUCUAUUUGUGCAUCAAGUCCGAAGAAGAUCUCAAUCUAUAAUGAAGAAAUGAUAGUAGCUCGUUGUUUUAUAGGCUUUCUCAUAUUCAGUCGGAAGAGUUUAGGUAAGACUUUCAAAGAAACUCUCGACGGGAGAAUCGAGUCUAUUCAGGAAGAAUUGCAGCAAUUCUUCAAUCCUAACGAAGUAAUUCCGGAGGAAUCCAAUGAAGAACAACGAUUACUUAGGAUCAGCUUGCGAAUUUGCAGCACCGUAGUAGAAUCAUUACCAACGGCACGCUGUGCGCCUAAGUGCGAAAAGACAGUGCAAGCUUUGUUAUGCCGAAACCUAAAUGUAAAGUCAGCAACACUUCUAAAUGCCACUUCUUCCCGCCGCAUCCGUCUUCAGGACGAUAUAGUCACAGGUUUUCACUUUUCAGUGAGUGAAAGAUUUCUAUCCGGGUCUACGUUCAAAGCUUCUACCAUAGACCUAAUUCGAGAAGGCUUGAUAGUCCUAAGAAAGGUGAGGGUGGGGGGUUCUAUUUAGGAAGAAUAAGAAGAAUCUCAUUCAUGUGUUCAUGCUAACAGAAGAGCGGAUCCAAUACACGUAAGACUUUUUAUCAGGAAAUUCCUAAUGUAAAUGAUGAAUUUGGGAUGUCAUGCCCCACAAGUUAGUUGCCCAAGCGCUCCCUUGGAGGGCAGUCUACCACAAGAUAGAGUUUGAGCCUGGAGCCAAAGCCCCAACCCCUCCAUUUUAGGUUUUUAUCAGGAAAGAAUUUCUGGAAGUCAUAUCGGCCAGAUAAGCCUCUGACGGCUCCAUAUUGAUUUUUCCCCAGUUUUCUUUCAGAAGAAGCGGGAGCCAUUUUGCAUUGAAACUCGGUAUCAGCAGAGUCAUCUCCUGAGAAAGACUUCUUUCUUAUUUAUACAAGAUUUCAGAGAACAUAGUGAAGCCCUCAAAGCGCUAACAAAGUCGUAAGUAGAGAAGUUUUCCAAAAAGAUACCUCGUUUUUCCAUUAAGUGUGCGUUGUCUGAUGAAGAAUAACGGGGGAGCCAACUCAAUAACCUAGCGGAGGAACCGUCCGGACUUGAAACAGCGGAUGCAACCCUUGCAUUUCGUUCUUUUGUUCUUUACUCUAUUUUCGCUUUGGCACUCACUUCCUUUGGAAUAAGGGCAUUUUUCUUCUCUACUCGUUCCGUUGACCAUCAAACAGUUUCUUAAUUAUGUUAUGUCAAAUGAUGGGAAAAAGGAAGGAGUAAUCAAAAAAGACUAGAACUACCCGAUCCGUUGAAAUACGAUACGAAGGAAACGGACUUCAAUCCCUCAUUCUUAUUGUUUGUUCUUCUGAUCCCCUUGUUUUUCACUCGCUUAAUUCGGAAGAGGAAAACGACAGCAGCUAAAGUGAGAAAUAAACAACUGCUCGGAAAGCUUCGGUUUGAGCGUUGGUUUUGAUGACAGUGAAGAAAGCUCGCCCAAAAGACGUACGUGGAACCAAUGAUACCAAAAAAAGAAUCAAAUAUGAGGAGAACUGGGUGCAUUGGUAAACGGCUCCGCCAUAGCUUGUACGACUUCUGAAUCCUAUUAAUGGCGCUCUCCGAAUAAAUAAGUAGAUACAGGCGGACUACAUACACGUGCUCUCCGAGUAGGGAAAGUGAGAAAUCUACGGUCUUCCAUCCGCGGAUGUGACAAAUCCAAUCCAAUUUGGUCUUGUCCCGUGGCUCGGACCCGGUCGCGUAAAUGCAGCUACCACUACGACGGGAUACUCUAGUUAUUUACUCUGUUUCAAUCCCUAUUUGGCCAUUCAACAGUAGCGUACGGCCUUUGGAAAGCAUCUCUUCCUAGAGGGGACUCCCGCUUGUGAUCUUCUUCCUUGGGUCGGAGAAAAUAUAACUUACCAAUUGGAAAUGGAAAUGCCGAAUGAAUUGAACCAAACUACGGAAACUGUGGUUGAGCUUGCCUGUCAUCAACGAAGGAUGGUUGUGAAGUUGGUGGAAGAAAGCAAACCAAUGAAUGCAGCUAGUCACCCCGAAAGGCGAGCCCAUGUCUUUUGAGAAACUGACACAACCUGUUGUGUUGACUUAUCUUAUACUAAGGGUCCGUCCCAGCCAACAAGGGAUUUCUCAUAAUUCUAGGAUGAAACAACAUCAUAUCUCAGCUUGAUUAUGAGAGAGAUUGAAGUGAAAGAACCCGGUUUCAGAGCGUGGAAACGGAAAAGAAUGAGGUGAAAGGGCCGACCCAUGCGGCCCACUUAGAAUGUGCUUUUACUUCCCCAGGUUGUACAAUAGCACUAUUUUCUGGACCCAAGUUCGAAAGGAUUAGGGCACUGGAUUGAAGAAUAGCUCAGUCCGAUAGAAACUUAGGUUGGGCUGGCGGAGGGAUGAGUGGAGCUUCUGUAUGACAUGUACUGGUGUUUCAUUAGUCCCUUGAUCGGGUACCCGAAGCUCGCUUUGAGGAAGCAGUGCCAUUUGGUUCUUCCUUCUUUCACGUCCAUCCGCGAAUGAUUUGAUAAUUCUUUUCAUCACUGUUUGGAUCGCAGACUUGACCGUUGUCUAUAGAAAGAAAGUGCUCACUCGUUUUCUGUUUGUUUUCAUGUGCGCAUACACUCAGCCUAAUUUAGUAAGUGUGAAGUGGAAGGGCGAGUACGGGUGAAAGCCCACUACCUUCCGGAUAAAAGAUAUGCUCGAUUUAUAGAUAGCUUUGCUUCACUAUAUAGCGUGGGACGAAUUGAUAAGCUCUGAAUGCAGGAAGGGAAACCUUAGAGCUUUCUUCGCUUAUCUUCCCAAGCAGACCAUAUGAUUCUCAUUAUUCUAUUUCUCUGUCUUUCCAACCAGCAUUCCCGCUUAUUCUGAUUGGAGUGAUGUGUGGUACCGGGGAUAAUGCAAUUGAUGGUGCUUGUGGCCCCACGGAAUGACCGUAUAAAAGGAAAUAGGCAGCAAGGGAGUUGGGUAGACUAAAGAUACUGCCUUUAGCCCUCUGCGGCCUUUUUUUUAAGUCGAGUCGUAAGGAAAGAUUGAUAGGAUUUGGUCCAUUUGGUGUCCUUCCAGACGGAGAAGCGAGAACCCUUUCUGCUUUGACCGCUUGCCCUCCUGGCACAGAUGUGGGAAAAGGUCUCAGUUGCGGAAUCAAAUAUGAAUGAAGUUAGAACAAUCAGCGUAAGCUCUUUCUCUAGGGCCACUAUCAAUAAUGACAAGAACUCUUACCAACUAGCUUAACGCAUCCGGUCUCCUUCUCCUUCGUACCCCUAGCGGAUAUGAAUAAUAGGAAGAAACAGGUCCUUUCUAAAGGCGGGCAUUAGACCAGAGUUUCGUGAGCCGGAGAAGAUCGAUAAAGCUUAGAACUUGCUCGUUUGCAGGAGGAGGCGGUGGUAUGACUCCGUCCGUUGAACGAGCAUUUCGUGCCACCUGUUCGGCGUCCACAUCCACUACCAUUUUCUGAUCCCAGUAUCUAUAGCAAAAUCGCUAUUUGCCUCACUCUAUAGAAGGCCUCCCGUAUGUAAGAUCACCAACCAAGUUCCUUUCUUCUUUUGUUUGUGCCAUCUUUACCAACUUCUACUUCUUGGCUAGCUUGAUGCUUACAGGUCUUGCCUCUGCUGAUACUGGUCAUGGGGACAAGAACUCCGUGGGAAGAGAGCAGAUACCAAUCCUAAACAACCCUUAGAAUGGCCUCAUCCAAACGGAUGAUUGUCAUUGAUAAGACGGGCAGGUGGUAUGUUGAUACUGAGCCGCUUCCCCUGUAGUUGUUAGCUCGUUCUUGACAAAUCCGAUCGGGUCUUCAUAAUCUGGAGUAAAAGGAUUCGAACCUUUGCAUGCCGAUACCAAAAACCGAUGCCUUACCACUUGGCUAUACUCCAAACAAACGGUAGGUUCCUGGAGAACCGUGGAAACUAGUUAGUUCAAAUCGAACUCAAAAGCAAUGCGCAUUAUCUACGCCUUUUUUUGAUUCACCAAGACCCGCUAAAGGCUGAUACAAACGAAUAGUGGGAGUUCUUUCUUACGAAUAUAAAUGGAGGAAAUAUACAAAGUACCUUUGUCCUCUGCAAAGAUCAUAAGAUCAGAUGGAGUUGGAUUGAUUUCUCGCAUCUACUAGAUCAGAGAUCAGAGUCAGGGGAGCUCUCGUAAGUGAGCCUAAGUAAGUAGUGUGGUUCGAGCGGAUCAGUCACCGCUGAGUUCUGCUUUCCUCGCAGAGUUGGUUUUAGCCGGAACCGCGCUCUUGCCUUCUUCUUGUGCCCCUUGAUUAUUGAUCUGAAUUCAAGUUAGAUUAGAGAAUACCGGUGCCUUUUGAUCCACCCUUAGGUUUUCAAACUGUGGAGGUUCAGUUACAAAAUGCAGUUUAUGAGGCUGCUUUGUAUGCCAGUGUGCAGGAAGGAGAGUUGGAAGAUAUACCUAGAUCCCCCAAUAGAGAAAAGAGCGAGCAGGUUACCUACUCUUGUGGUGGAUGGCGGCACUAGAAGUUGAUGCUUUUUAUGGACGGACAUAGAAAUUCGAUUUCCAAUAGAGCUGCAAACGCUACUGUAAGCCGAAGACGAAUGCUGGCCAAAAGUAAGCAAAGCAGGAGAGGCGUCGUUUCCUUCAGUUGGUCAACCAACAGGUCUCCUCACUCUAGCAUUUCUUCUUUGUUCGGUCGCAAGGCAGGGAAAUGGAGGAUUUGUUUCUGCUCUGUCCUUUACCGCAUCGAUGGAUUCAAUUUCAGUGGAUAGAGCUCAACCUGUUGCCAUCGUCAUUUCAAUCACAAUUCACUUGGUAGGUAGACGCUUGUUCCGACCUCCAUAGUGGCACUUUGACCUUUUCUCAACAACAUCUACUUCUAAUCUGCUUGAACGGCCCUCUUGUCAUUUGACCCAGAAUUGAACGAGAUGACACCCACCAAUAUCUUCCAACACAGGAUCUCCCUUACAAGGCCGUCCUUCUCUCUUUCUUCCCAAGAACAUCGGGGGUCUGUUCUCUGAACGAGUCAGCACCAGCCGCGUUACCAAUACGGGGAUCUCGGCCAUGAGAACUUGUAGAACUUGUCUCCUGAAUUGCACCCCCCCUAGGCCGACCAGCUAAGUAGGACCCACUUAGCAAAACAGGUCUAUAGGGCGCUAGGGAAGGGGUAUAGAAUGGUACUUGAAUCUAUCUAUAGACAUAGGAUCCCCCAGCCACUGGAAUCCAUUGGUUUCUGUCUCAAUUCGUCAUUUGAACUGAAACUAACCACGAAGGGAAAAGAAAAGAAGGAUUCUAGUUUGCCACUACUUGGACUCAACUUGGACUUUCGGAGGAGAAAACCAUUUCCAUUAAUAUAUGACUCAGUCAUAGCCAAGAGAUCAUCAUUCUAAUAACAAGGAUCUAGUUUAUAUAUCUCGAAUUGGGUUCCAUAAGAUGCCAAAAUAGUGGAAGUACCAUCACGUCUACCUAAAGCAAAUGGUUUCUAUAGAUUGAGAAAUGGUUUCUAUAGAAUGAGAUAUAGUCGAAUGUACCUUUAAUACUUCACGUGCAUUCUUCGCUUAUAAAUUUAGCCAAGAUCCAAACAUCUCAAUCUCUUCAUACGUUCUUCCUGUUGAACUCUUCUUUUCGCUCAACAAAUGCAAGUUCGUCAGGUUUGGUUACUAGUUUUCUUGGAAGGUUUUCUCCCUUGAUCUUUUCCCUUGUUUUAUGAUUGGAAUGAAAGUAGGAUUGUUUAUCCAAUCCAAACUAUUUAUUGAGGGAAAGUAAGAUCAAUAGUUGGCCCUAUUGUCUGUGCUCUGUUCUGUUAAGGAUUUCUGUAUUGGAAACAUAGGCAUCCUGCUAUUCCCUGCUCUAGUUUCAGUUCAGUCAUAAACCUAUUGCCCGGGUCCUUUGAUACUUGAUUUCCUGGGUCAACGGUACCUAGAUUCCCCUUUGGCUUGAUCUUACCUUGGAUUUCUGAUUGGAAUACAGAUUGGAUAAACAAGAGGAACUUGGAAAAGAGGGUUGGCCAAAGCAUAACGAUAGUGCAUUCAAUCGAUUCCAGUCUAGUUUUUCAUAUCUUUUCCCUCAAUAAAUAGUUUAUAUAUGAAAGAAAGUGCCAACUUAUUGUUCUUGGAAUGCUGAUUUCCAUGGAUUUCUUCUUGGCAUAUCCCCCCUGAUUUGAUGACCUGGCUAAAACACCUAUUCCUUUUUUCUGGAAUUGCUGCCGAAAGCCUGUUUGCAGCAUCCAUAGCAAUACGUGUUAGUACUCAAUUUCUUUGAUUUUCAUUUGAUGAAGUGAAGACACUUAUCUAUAUACCAUUUAUAGAGUGGUAGAGUAAUCUUGCAAUGCGGCAUGAAUUGGAUGACUUAAUAGUUUUCUGCAGUUUAGUACUAACAUGCCUGUGUGGUGAACUAACUACCUUGGGAAGCAACAAAUAUGCCCCCAAUCACGCUGCCUAUGUGAACAAAUUCUAAAACUUUGCAUAAGCAGCUUAAUUAAGUAGAAAAACCUAAUCGAUAGCCUACUACUUAUACUUCUUACUUUCACUUGGUUUUUCUUCCUUCCCUUCGGUACUCCUUAACUCGGAGAUACUCCUUCGGUACUACUUGGCUACUACUUGAACAGAUGGGUUUAGUCCCUUCCUUCGGGCAACGUUUUCUCCGGGUACCACCGGCUUACCACCGGGUUGAAAGAAAUCCCUUACUAUUAGGACAUAGUGUUCGGUACGACUUAAGGCUACUGGAUUGACUUUCUUUAAUGUUGCAUCUGCUUUCAACUAUUUCAUAGCCUCCCGUCCCGAGCAAACGUCGAGAGCAGGGUGUUGAGCCAAAAAGUAAAAUCCAUAGAGUUGGGGACUAAAGAGACUCUUUUUUUACAGCCAACCAUGAAGAGAAGAGAGUCUCAGAGUAGAUUCGGUAAUGUUGAGUCGAUCUAGUAUGGAAAAUUCCUCGCUGUGCGCUCGCCUUUUGCCUGCUUCUGCUUCAUCUGCAGAUCGGAUUCCUUCCCCAGAGUUCUUACUUAUAGGCUUUAUAGCCAAGCAGUCCAAUAGAAUAGCUGCUUCUUCUAAAGCGGAUUAGAGUGCGACGACCAAAGCUACGGAGCGGCCUCUACCGCUUUCCCUACUGUUCUGGUUGAACUAGGGCUUUGGCUGAGCGACCACCUUCUUCCAGUAUUCUUAGCUUACUGUCUGCUUCCUGCCUGAUCGGUGCUGACUGACUGUUCUUGCUUGUCUUGGGCCUGCUCUAGUUUUGGUGCUGCUAACUAAGGGUCGAAUUUCGUGACUUGAUGAAGAGGAAGCCGAGUAUCUUUGGUCUUGAAGAGUCAGGCCAAUCCAACCGCUUGCUCCUGCCCAACUCAGUCUCAGUCGUACCAUAAUGCGCCUGGACUCAACACUUUUCUUGCUCCAAGACCACCCUCUAGCCCUCAUGUAAAAUAGAUGACAGAAUUGUAAACAAUCAUAGAAUGAUUUAAGCUGAGGAACAUAGAGGUCUCUCCCACAAUUUUUGUCAUAUACCUCUGGAAUAGUGUUGAAAUCACACGCCACUAAGCAGUUUUUUAAACCAAGUGGUUUAUCUUAGUGUGCUAGCCGCUGCUUCAUUUCGUAUAGCGAUAACGCUUUCUCUUUCUUAGCGCUCCACCCCGCGGAGAACUCUGGUUGCGCUUUGGUUGGCUUUCUCUUUUUUUCGAUUUUCUCUGACUUGACUCAGCUUGACCUACUUGACUCAGCGGUUAGAGUAUCGCUUUCAUACGGCGAGAGUCAUUGGUUCAAAUCCAAUAGUAGGUAAAACCGGCCGAAACCCCCGCUUUUGCCAGCAUGACAGCAAGCACAGACUGGCAUCAAGGAGUAGAAUGACCAAAGCAUCGGUUGCUUCCACUUGUUUGUUGCCUUCUUCGACCGACAGACAAGGUACCCCCCUCUUUUUCUCUUGCGAACCUACGUUGAGCUUGGGACAACCCGCGACUGGCAUAGGAUAUUUCAAAAGCGCCAGGAUCCAUCCUUCUUACGAACCAAGAGCACUGGAGAAGCGAAGGGGCUCGUGCUGCGACGAAUAAUGCCAUUGUUCAUCAUCUCACAGAUUUGCUUCUCGAUCUCUGUUUUCUGGUGGGGUGCAUAUCUAUAUGGCCGGACAUUGACUGGCACUGCACCUGGCACCAACGGAAUUUGGUGGUCACAGGCACGACGAGGGGGUAAUUCCUUUGGCUCCCGGAACAAAGCAUCAAACUCCUGUAGCAGUUCUUGAACAGCUGGAGGUGUCUGCUCUGCAGGAUCAGCAUCCAGAGUAAUUGCUUGCAGAUCAUGCUCCUGGUGAAUCUGACGCACUUGCACACACUGGCUAACAGCACCCCGUUUCAGCAAUCCUUGCAGCUUACGGACAGAGAUUGGACGGCAGGAAGGAUUAUCUUGAAUGCCAUUGAGAGUGAUGCGGCGCCCUUUGUGCGUGAAUUUCAUACGACGAUGACGCCAAUGUACCCACAUCGGGCUAUGGUCUUCGAACCGCUCUUGCCCUCCCCUUUCACUUCCAUAGUGGUCUUCUUUGGCCGGCCCACUCAUUUCACUCUCAAGCUCUCUGAGAAGAGAGAAUCCGAUUCAAGAUGUUUCGAAUUCAGCCUUUCCUUCAUGUUCGUGCUUUAAGUCAGUUCGUACUUUUCAGUAUAUAAGAGAAUGACUGAACUCGCGUUGAAAGCUACUAAACAACGGCUGACAGAGACUCAUAAGAGGGAGAGCGGUAGCAAAAAUGAGAUCUUUCGUCUAGACAGAAGAGAGAUCCUUUCCUUCCUUUCUAUAGGAAAUGACUGAUGUUGCUAAGUCACCUUCCGCUGCUCUUGCGUCAUCCCUUUUCCAAUUCUUUUUGUAUGGCUCGGUUGCAUCCGAUUGAUCGAUCCCUAGUCACUGAUUACAUGCAUGAGUUCUUUGAUUCACUACUGACUUCUUCUGUGGAGCCGAGUUCGCCGACUGAGACUACUUGAAAAGAAUUUUCGACCAACCGAUCUCACGACGAUGAGUCACCCACAUACUUAACAAAAAAUGCAAAUAGAAGAGCAAGUAAAUCAAGCUCAAUUACAACUCACUCUGAUCAAAUAGCACUCAGGUAUAGGAUUUCCAGCGGAAAGGUAGCCUUGCUCGCUUCUUUACCCUUGUACGCACAAAUCUAGCUCAUAGCAGCACUUUCGAGUUCGGUUACUUAAGUACAGAGAUUGGAACAACUUAGCGCGGGAAGUCCCAUAUCUUGUCUUAGCCUCGCCUCACCUAUUUCCUCAUAACGAGAUCAGAAUGAAAUAGAAUGGAAUCUCAAGUCUUAGCUAGAUCAGGGCUACCAUGUUCCCUCAGACGAAAAAGAAAAGAAUACUAGACCUGUUGGACUCGCAAAGUAGGAUCAGGCUUUUUCUACUAGAAACAGAGGAGAGCGAAAACUAAGUCAAAGGGGGAAGAGCUGUUUAUGAGCAUUUUAAGGCCGGUUGACAACAUCCAAUGUCUCCCACGAGGGUGCCUGAAACUCCAGUUUUUCUAGGCAGAGGUAGGUAUAUAUAUAUUUAACACAUUUGAGUUUGUAGGAAGAUUCCCCGCUCUGAAAUUUUUUCUAUUUGGAGCUUCUUCCAAAGAGGUUGGGAUUCUAGUUCCAAUUGGAUGUGUCCCGGUAAGAUCGUUAACGACUGAUAUACUGCCUGAGACAGGGCAUGCUCUCCCCUCUGCGUAUCGAGAGAAAGAAACAACUUCCUGAUUCCAGUUUCUUUCAUUUAUACCUACGAUAUCCACGCUAAAGAUGAAAACUUUAGCAGUUCAUAUCAGCCUGAAUGAGGAAGUAGAGUCAGUUUCGUCCAUAAACUGGGCCGAAGAUCUGACAGAGGUUGACUUGCUGGCUUGUGAGUUGCCAGCUCCGUAGUUGAUUGCUAACCAGAGGAUAGUGACAGCCAAUAUUCCUAUUCCUGCUUGUGUGCUUGUUUGCUAUUCUUCCUAUUCCUGUUACGAGACGACCUCGGCUCAAGCUGACCCCACACCGAAAGUCGUCAAGCAGUCUUGGGCUCCAUCAAUCAGUGAGGAGGAAACCAAAACCUGUUGGAGUUCCCCGCCAUCACCUCGCCUAGAUCCGGGGGUUCAUACCCUCCUGUAGCAGAGAUGUAAGCCGCAAAGGCUACUUGCCUGCCGAGGGGGGAGAACUACCUAGUAUCAAAUUCACAAAGCAGCACAUUUAGUAGUUGACAUCUUUCUUUCUCGUUUUCAUCGGAAAGGAGAGUUUUCACAUUAAGCAAGAAGAGCUACGAGUUGGAGGGCUAUUUCACCGACCGUCACUUCUCCUUUGUAUCUGCCGAAGACGCAAGUAGCCCAACGACAGGCUUGUGUGGAGUUGAAUGACAACACGCAGAGGUCUUUUGGCGAAACUGGGGGCUCUUUGUCUAAAGGAAGGGCAAAGUCAACAGGCCAAUCCCAGUUUCAGAAUUGGAAGAAGCAGUAGGAGGUUCACCAUCAGAAAGGCAUGGGACAACAAACUCUAUUAAAGCUUUCUUCGAAUAAGUCUUUCGCUUGACUUGGCUCAACGGCUUUAGUUCAGUAAAUGCUUUCGUAUGAAGCUUGAGUCAAGUCUAGUCUCAUGCAGUGAAGAUCGUCAAGCAAUCAUUGCUCGUCUCUCCGAAACCUAUUGAUAAGGAACGCGUUCAAGUGUAUGGAAUAAUCAAACCUUUCACGUAUUUGUUAACAUAGCGUUGGACGAUUGAUUCCUCUCUUUCUCCAUGGCCUGCUUCCCAUAACUGGCCUUACUAAAACUUACGAAAUGCUAAUUUGACCUAAAUUUCCGGUUAACUGCUGACUUUCUUUGCUAGCUCACCCGAAACUCUGUCUUCAGGAGGAAAGCUUGCUUGAGUACCUUACUUGAAAACAAACCGCUUGAGCUGUAACCGAAACAGAAAGGUUUGAUGAGCCGCUGCUUGCUCUCUAACUGCUCUUACCGCUUCUUCUUCUUGACCUCUGCUCACUGCUGCCAAUGCUGUGACUGCCGCCCCUAUCUCUAAAGCUGCGGAUUACAGCUCCUGAUUCAAGCAGUUCAAAGUCUGAAGUAUGAGUCUUGUUUGUGACAUUCAAUUCCAGAAUGAACAUUCAAAGGAAAAGUAGUAUGGGACGCUGCUUGCUAUUACUGACUGCGGCUGCCGACCAAAGAACUGAAGAUCUUCAAUCUAUGUUUGAGUGCUCUUGCGAAAGAAAAUAAUUUCGAAUGCAAAAAUGACUUCAAAAAUAGGAUAGGAUCGCGGAUUCCAUAUAUUUUUAUAGAAAGAAAGAUACUGUACUCCGCAUCUUUACACCGCAUCCUUCAAAGCCAUUUAAUGCCUUCUUGCCUGCCUUCAGUUCAUGCCUUCAGGCCGGCCUGCUCUUGCCUAUGAAUGAGAUGCCUACUUCCCAUUAAGUCAAAAUACCUCAUAGACAUAUUUUUUAGAAUACUUAGUUAGUUAAAGAGAAAGAUGGCUUUUGACAAUUUUUUUAGUCCCCUCGUUCCCGAGCAAGAAAACGGAUGCGCUAACGCGCAACGGCUUUCGCGCUAGUUGCUCAAUCCGUUGCUUGUUCGGAAGAAUCCGCAAAUGAAUAUUCUUUAUUUCCUCUCGGACAGGCCCUCUUUUUUCAUUCGAAUGUACAUCUUUUUCGGUAAUGAUCAUCUACAACUGAAAGACUGACGUCUUCCUCUACUCGAUCCUUAGUUAUACAAUCUCCCUCCACCUCAAUUUUUAUGAUCCUCAUAGCCUUUUUUAUUCGCGUCCUCCCCCUGGAUCUAUUCCUGCCGCGUCCACGUCCUCUGCCUCCAGCAACUAGAGCUGCAUCAUCUUGUUCAUUAUUGAGAAUAGGCCUCUUCUCACACCGUACCAGUUCUUUUUGCAGUUGAAUCUUCCCGUUCUGGCUUAUUGAGUGUAUAGAUUCUUUUUGAAAUGCAAUCUAUUCCCACGUCACUCUUCUCAUAACAUAUCCUGUUCUCCUCACUUUGAUUCUGGAUUCACCGGUUGAUUUAAGACGGGGUUCUAUGCUUUCUAGCCCCAUUUGACAAAAGUGAGCUUCCCCUAUCUCUUUUGUAGGAAUCAGAUAGCAAUGCUCAUUCGUGAAUAGCAUUUCAUGCUUCCGCUACUUCGUCGGAGAGAUCCAUGGAAACUAAAAAAAUAAAAGCGGACGGCAUUGUUCAUACGAUAGCCGGAAAAGUAAGUUCUCCCGCCGGCUAUUCAAAAAAGAAAGACUUACUUAUUCAUAAACUUCCUUUUAUCGAGCAUAAUAGCUCUUAUACGCUUGUACAGAGGAGUAUAAAACAAUGUAUAUAUAUAUAGGUGCUUAGUAUCCUACAAAAACAUUAACAUCCAAAGCACCGUAAGCUUGCUUUCUCUCCCGCUGACAGACAAAGAAAAGGUUUUUUUAGACUUUUCUAUGGUAGGCCUACGCUAGUGGAAUAUAUUUUUUGUUUGUAUUCUAGCUUAGCUCUCUCUAUUCUUUGCUUAAGCUAUCGUGUCGUGUAGAUGGAUGGCAUCUCCCUAUUCCCACAUCCCCGGAUAUGAUUAAUGCAUGGAAGCUAAGGAAUUGGGUCAUUCUUCAGCCCAAGAUGCAAGCAUUUGGACUCCAUCCGAAUAUGGCAGUUGAACUCUUAUAAUAGGCUUGGCUCUGGAAAAUGGGCUUAUCUUGGGCAAAAAAACGCAAAUAAAGAAGAGCUUCUUGUUUCCAAGCGGAACUCGAAUGGGCUGCUAGCAGAUUUGUUGGGGAUGGCAAGUUAACACCGUGGGUAGGCUUGCCUUUCACUCGCUCUGGCACAUUUUGGCGGAACGUCAACGUUAUAUAUAGUUUAAUUCUAGAGGUAAGUUAAUGUUUUCAAAAAUCCAAAUGGAAAAGGAUUUGCAAAAAUAUGCAGAUUAGAAGCUAGUAUCUCCAGUUUUAUGAGAGAAAGAAGAGGAAGAAUCGGCAAACAUCCUAAAAAAUGGGACUUUUGUCUCAAUCCGAUCAAAAACAAACAUAUUCUAUUGUGUGUUGACCACCGGGAAACGAAUGGAUUAAGAUGAAGACGGACGGUUCAAUUAGCGAGCAUGGGAAGGCUUGUGGAGGUUUAGCAAUAAAAAGGGGAUAUAUGCGUUCUCUCAAGCAGUUAAGAACAAGACCAUACUCGAAGUCGAGCUCUUUUGCAUCUGAACAUGUAUUCAAAUAGCAGCUGAAAAGGAGUGUCAGAGGAUUUGGAUUGAUUCGGAUUCCCUAACGUAAGACAUGGUCUACUCUCAAGAUCCCAAAGUCCGCAGCUAAGGAAAGCCCCUUCUUCAUAAGAUCAAGAAAGUACGAGCGUCUUUCGAAGAUUGGAAAAUCUCCCAUACUUGGAGAGAAGCAAACCAACCGGCCGAUUUGCAAUUGACUAUGCUUAGUAGUUGACAUCUUUGGUCUUCACAUUUUCCCUUCCAUUUUGUAAAGUUAGUAGAAGAGGAUAGAUCCGGUAAAUUGACGAAUGUCAAUCUUCAUUUUUGUAGAUUAAUACACUGGUAGGGGUCGAUCAGGCAAAUCCCAAAGCUGACCCCCGAACAGCUGCCGGACUGCUCUACUGAUCUUCUCUCUCUUCAGAAAAACGGAACCUUCUCAAAGACUCCCUUUGCACUGAGAACACAAUUCAGAACCCUCCUUCUCACAAGAAGGCAAACCUUGUACGUUGAUCGAAUCUUCUUUCGCAUCCAGAAGAGAGGCUGUGGGCUAUCCGAGAGAGUGGUUCAGGUGACUACCGGAGUCAUUGAUUAAGCAGGUCAGAUGGGCUUAGUAGGGCUCGAACCUACAAUAUCACCGUUAUGAGCGGUACGUUUCAACCAAUUAAACUAUAAGCCCAAUCGGAUCUCUACAUGCCGGGAAGAGCGGACAGAAAGAGGAGACCUUUGCUCUAUCUCCUUCUUCCUCUUCCCGGGGCCCCGGAGGGGUUCUUUGGCAAGCCCUAUUAAAGAAUAAAAGUGACUUUCGUCACUCAAGUAGUGAGUUUGAGAGUGACCGUUAGGGCGACCACUUGUACUUCUAGGCCUUGGCGACCUAUAUGUUACGCAACACAGCUUCACUCGAUUCAGUAAAUCAAUAGUUCAAACCAGCCCACUAAUAGCUUAGAUAGUGGCCCUUCCACUUUGGUAUAGUUGACCCUACCUAUUGACUCAAGGUUCAUAGGAAGGGGGAACCCAGACGUAGUGGGAUGUAGGCUUCAGUUGUUUUGGUACUUUUUCACUACGUCUUAUUAUUUUUUUUGUAACCGGCUUUUCACCGGCAGGUCAGUAGGCCUUUUAGAAGGCGAACAAACGAAAGUUCUCCGCGGGCGCUAGCGCUAUCUUGUUCGCUUUUGUCAACUGAAGUCGCGCGUAGCGCCAACUAACUGAUAGCUGAUAGAGCGCGGAGCCCCUUCUCUAAGCGAGCAGAGCCAUUUCUUUCUACUGUCGUCAAAAGAAAAAGAAAAGUACUAAAGGCGAAGGGCAUUCUGUUGUACAGCUACUUUGGUAUAGUUACAAAGGUAACCGGUAGGUGACUGUUGAAUCGACAGUAGUUACGAAAGGGGGAAAUAGCUCAGUUGGUUAGAGUGCUGGUCUGUCACGCCAGAAGUCGCGGGUUCGAACCCCGUUUUCCCCGCCCGAUCUUCCUCUUCCUGCCCGACUCAUUUUGAAAACACUGGAAGCUGCUGAUCCCAGCGUAGCAUUCAAGACAAUUGUUCCUUCUUCGGUCUCCCUCCACCCCCUUCGUUUGUUGUGGGUCUCACCGCAGGCACUUAAUGAAUGAGUGAAGAUCUUCCUUCCCCCCUUGUGUCUUACCAAGGACUGAGUUCCCACUUGUGGCGAAAAAAAAAGUAUACCAUCCCACCCGGCCUAACCCGGGGGGUUAAGGUUCCUCUCGGAGACUGCCAGUCUACAAGAAGCUGGCAGAGCUUUAGCCAUUGGACCACAUCCAUCCAUCCUCCUACCUAAAGACGCCUUUUCUUGUUCGUUCUUCGAAUUACGCUAGUGGAGACUAAUUCCUUCCGGCUAAUGAAGAUACUACCCCAGUCUUCCCAUUCAUUCCCAGUGGAUCCUUCUUAUCCCUUUUCAUUGAACGAACCAAGUUCACCUAUACGAGAGUGAGGAAUAGAAAUCCUACAAUCAACUUCCCACUUUUGAUGUCCCGUUUGACGAUUCUGCUGCGUCUUUAGAAAAAAAAAGGAGAAGGACAGGGGUCGCUAGUCAGAAAAGCUAUAACUAUCAAUUCGAAUUCUGAAUGAAUAAAAUCUCCCCAAGUAGGAUUCGAACCUACGACCAGUCAGUUAACAGCCGACCGCUCUACCACUGAGCUACUGAGGAAGAACGGACUUAAGGAAGCUGACUCUCGUUCUUUGGCCCAACCAACCGCAGACCGAAAAUCAAAAAAGUGCGUCACUUUUUCUCUUUCACAUACACCGGGAGAAAGGGUGACGAUAGCAAUCCCCUUUGCCCCCCCGGCCGGGGAGCCUCCAGGACAGGACAAGGGGGGCGGCGGUCAACCAUCAACUCUCGAUAUGCAUAUUGAUCAAUCGAUCUCCGCGUCCUGCCAGUUCGCUAAGUAGACUCACUCUACCGAGGGGCAACUAAGGUUGGUUCCUGCCAAUUCCCUUGCUGAUCAGCCUUGGAAUUGGCAAGUAUGAGAGAGUCCUCUCUCUGUCUCUCCGAGUUUCAACUACUAAGUGAAGUUAAGUAGCACUUCAGCUAUUCUAAAUGUGAAUAGAUUCCGAUCAAGCAAGCAGGAGAAGGUGGUCCUUUCAUCUCUCUGUCUGCUCCAUGCUCUAUAGCCUAAGGAUCAUGAGCAGGUUUAAUGCUAGAAAAAACGAGAUCUGCCUAAUCAUUUCGGUAGAUGAAGUAGUGGGAGGUCACGAAGGAAGUAAGGGGGCAUGUUAAGUUGAUAAUUUCGAACAUUGUAGCAUCCUUUUGACGGUUGGGCUUUGAGUUGAUAACUUUUAAGAACUCUUAAUAUGAAAAUACACAUUCUAAAAUGACGCAUCGAGCGAGACCAUUCUGUUUCAUUGUGAAUGAAAGACGUUUUCGACCAACAACAUCUACUCAUAUCCAGCUUCGUGUCAUUUUUGAACACUGCGAUCAGCAAGCAGCAAGCGGGGGAGAGUCAAGUCAAGUACAACACAGGACUGACGGGGUGGGGCGCGCCAAAGCAACCCGGGACCCCUCCGGGGUCACUACAAAAGCGCUGGCGCCUUCUUUUGAAGGUGAAAAACUACGCUAGCUAAGAAAAAGAAAAGGGCUGCGCUAAUGGCAAGGAGCAAGAAAAGGGCAGCUAGCUCGAAAUCCGAUAAAUCGAAUACCUCCUGGCUUCAGUUAUGAGAGAGAACUCCAAGGCAGGAUAAAGACUGAGUUGGAUUCAGCCGCGUGGGGAAUGAAACAACAUUCAUGGAAUGAGUUGAGGCAAAACCUCCAGCUCUUUUUGAGAGUCAGGGGCUUUAAAAGCGCUUUAAAAAGGGCUGUCUGCAUUACUGGAUUCACUAUAUCAAAUUGUAGUAAAAACAAGGGGCCACGUAGACUAUUCUGAGGUGGUAUGCUAAAUCCAUGAUCAACUGAUGUAGCUAGUGUGACUAAAGCAGCAGCUAUUGGCUUAACUGGUUCUAAACUCUCCCACCCGAUAAAGGAAUUGAAAGACUACCCCGGGCCACGUAGACUAUUCCCUUCCGCGGACAUUCUUUUCUAGAAGGAAAGUAGCAAAGCCGAACGCAAAUACACAUGCAAAUUGCGUCGACUACCUCAUCACUGUCCAAAAUGGGGGAUACCGCUAUUCAUACAUGGAUGGACGAGGGACUCCGCUGACAACAUCAGUAGAUGACUUUUCUCGCGGAAUGCUAUUAACGUUGGAAAAAAACACUGCUCUCAAACUCACCCUCCGGGUGAUAGGUAGAAGCAUUAGUACCUAACGGAGCGGUAUCUAACCAAAAAGGGAGGUGAUGUUCUUUUUAUAAACAGGAUGGAGCAUGGCUUCCUUUCUUCUUAGAUACAUUUCAUUCAUUCCAUUUCUCUAUAGUUUACACCUGAACAUCUUGCUAAUCCUGACAGAUCUCGAAAAGGGUGGGGGCACUAGAACCAAAUCUACAUACACAUCGAAACUUCCUAUCUCAGCCAAGCUAGCACCUUCAUCCCACCAAUGCAUUGUACGACUCUCCACCCCCUUUUCCUCCCUCAUGAAAUCCUAAUUUCCCGCAAUGAAAUUCGAUUUCGUUCAUGUCGGCGGUUGGCAAAACGGCCCUGAGAUCCGGGACUGGUAAAACAUGGGUGCCCAAUUUGCUUUUCCGUGCUCCGCCUUAGUGCCCUUAUGAAGGCGGCGGGGAGUCCUUAGCCUUUGAACCAAACUCUAGGGAACGCUCAAUUGCCUGACGUCUCAACUGCAAUGGUGAACUCAGUGACAUACACUGAAAUGGAUUGCAUCUAUUGUUCCAAACAAGGCUGAUAUUAGCAUAAAAGCCCUUCCAUGCAAUUUCUUGCUUCGCUCUACAGACGAAAGUGCCGGAUAGUCAAUGGUAACCAGAAGAUCUAUGGUUUUCGAGAGAAGGUAAUUGGAAAAACGAUUCAUUCCUUUGCUUUCUUUCAGAUAUCUAUUCAAUAAGAUGAUCUGACCUUACCUGAAAACUAGAUUCAUGAAGAAGCCCAAAAAGUGCCGGGCUUAGUGCAGCCCAGUUCCUAGCCAGUGUGGGGUUCUGCCAUGGAUAUUCGGUCCACUCCAGAAUUCCAUUCAUUUUUCAAACGUAACUCGAUUGACUCAAUUCACAAACGGCAAGGAAGUCAAAAGUGACGCUUACAGGUCGUACGACAAUUGCUUCUCUUCCGGGACUACAUACAUCUUUUCUUUAACAACUACCAUACAAGCUAUUCGCUUAAUACAUGCUAGUAGGUAGGCUGGUGGUGGAGUAUUUAUUUUCGUCUUUUUUUGGUCUGUCUGUAUUUCGGUUUUGGGAUGGUGCGAAUCCAUCUAUCCACCAUUCUUUUAUCUUUCAGUAGUGUCAACCUCAGUUCUGGUUCUUUAUCUUGGAAUACUCUCCGUUGUCCUGGAAGCAAUGCUUGAAAGAAAGCGUAAGGAAGCGUCAAAUCAGUAUGAUGUAUUGGCAAAGCCAGUAAGAAGGGAAUCGAAAGUAGAUAGGGACUCCCACUGUAGAUGUGGUUUUAUACCUUGAUGAAUUGGUACCUUAUAGCAUAGCGAAUUGACUUUUCUUUCAAAAGGAUAUAUCAACCUGUAGUGAAACCGGGCCACCGAGCUUGCUUUUACCGCUCUUACAGCUCUCUCUCUUCUUUUUUAUGGGUAGUUUGGCCAGGAAAGAGAAAGAGGAAUGUACCCAUUUCUAUUUAUCCAUUCUCAUAGAAAGUACCAAAAAUGUUUUUGAAUGUAUGGAGCAGGCGUAUGAGUUGAUAUCUUCAAGAGUAAAAUCCUUUUCUUGCCCACCCAGCCAUAAAAGACAAAAAUCGUUACGAGCGGUCUUAAACCCUCACCUCAAUCUCAAAAAUGGAAUUGAAAAGCUCCAAUUUAAAUAAUGGUACCGGGGAAAUACCCAGGGAAGAAUCAUUCUUUGAAUCAUCCAGAUCUAUCAAUUUGCGAAUUCAAUAAAAAACGGACUGAUCCUCGGAAUACACCAUCAUCUUUCGAAGUGCGCAGUCAAUAUUAUGUUAUAUUCAAAGAAACAAGUCAAAGAGUAAAGGCUUCGCCCUUCAAUACCACACUUCCAGUCGAAAUUCCUACGAGAUUGACGUUCGAAGAAAAAGACAUGGUUUGAUAGAAACUUUAAGUGGGUAUCAAAUAAACUGGAAUGAAUGGUAUCAAUUUCUUCUUUUCUAUACUGAAUCUGCUUCGGUAUCUCUUUCUUCCUUCCCUUCUGUAAACCAAGCAGUGACUAGCCUCUGGCACUCACUUUCCAAAGCACCAAUUGACUUGCUUUCAGAACAACCCUGAUCAGUAAUACCUGAAAUACCACCCGUACGUAGUACGCCAUUCCCAACGCGGAGCGCCUUUAUUUUCGUAUUGAACUCCGCUAGGAAGAAAAAGUUAGACCGUAGCCUUGUCGAACAACCUCGUUUCUCGCUUUUGUCGAUUGACUCGUGGGACUCUACUGAGUCCCAGCAUGGGUGUGGUAGAUUACUGACGUGAAGCCGGACCUCUAUGAGUGCUCUACAUGGCCGGAUCAAAGCUAUUCUAAAAACUAGAUCCAUUGGAGUGGGAAGUACUCAAGAUGUAGAAGAGGACUCAAGCAGGUUUGGUCCUCUUUCUCUGAUGUGUUCUUAGAACCCACUACCCUCCCUCCUAAAAGACCAUGUGACCAUCGGAUUCACCUCACGAUAGUCAACCAGUGAAUCAAAGGCCUUAUAGGUAUUCACACCACCGGAUGAAAUUGAAGCCAUAUCAAGGAGUUACUCUAGAAUGGUACUCUACAACCUAGUUCAUGCCUCACCGGCUCUUCUUUACAAGAAGAAAGAAGGUUCGUGGCGCCUAUGGAUUAUAGGCAACUCAAUGCGCAAACCGUAAAAAAGAAAUACCUGAUACCGGUCAUUGAUGAUCUUCUGGAUGAGCUACACGGUUAUACUGUGUACUCAACAAUCGUUUUAUCUAUUCCCACAUCGAUUCACCAAUCCUGGAACUCGUUAUGGAUAGAAGGUCCGUAGAAGUGAAAGUAGGACGACGGGAGAAAAGAGUAAGGAGUACCGGAAAAAGAAGAUUUUGGACUUUCUGCCCACGAAGAAAUAGUAGCAUUUGAAACUGGAAAGAUUUACUUUGGAUAGUAAAUCCCCAAGGAAGGGCUAUAAUCCAAACAAAGGAGGAGCUAGCGGACAGUUCGAAUUUCAACGAUUAGGGAGGGGAAUGAAACACUUGUCUUUCACAAUCAAUUCUUUCUUUUUUUUAUGUUUAGGACACGCGAAGCGAGAGCGAAAAUCGCUAUGAGGAGAAGACUCGGCAAGAGAGGUUUGAACAAGAGGAACUGCCGUCUAGUUGAGUUUGAUCAUUCUCUCUUUCUUUCAAGAGCUGAAUAAGGGCAUAUCCGCAAAGGAGAGAGAAAUCGGACUUUCUUCUUUACCCCCCUCAUUAUUCAAGACGUGAAUAUAAAGUGUAUUGUACUCCCUUGGAUCUUUUCCGGGAUCUUUACUCGUCGUUGAUCAAGGAAGCUAGAAGGAAGAUGGGUGGUAGGGUGAAUGGACAUUCGUAUCCUCUCCGACUCGUCGGUUAGGAGAGUAGCGACCAAAAAGAAAUCAUUAUACAGGAUAACUGCUGUAGAGAUAAAAUGUAGGAAGGAGAAAGUUGGUUUCAAUGAGUCAUGUGAAUUGUAGAAGAAAUAGGUAAACAAGGCGGGUUAAUAUAUAUACGUUGAAAAGCAAGGGGAUAAAUUGAACGAAAUGAAGAGCAAUCCAGAAUCCGAUUUUGUAUACUAUAAGAAAAAGGCACUGAAAACUUGGAAACGGAAGAUGUUGUAACUGAUAUGGGUAGUCACACAUUAGGCAAAAUGGUGUAGUGGUUGGGCCAGGUAGCUUCUUCUUUUGAACAACAUUUCAUUCUGUUUUGGAUGCUUUCUACUAUGUUUCAAGUGAUCAAAGAAGAGUUUAUUUCCCACUACUCAUAUCACAUCUUAUGUGUUGAUGCAAGCUGACUAAAUCAAUAAGAUGGUAUUCGUAUUUGAUUAGACAAGAUGGUAUUCUUCUUUAUUCCGGAGCACAACAAUCCGGAUCUCUAUCUUAUAGCUUAUCCUUCCUAUUCUGUAUGUAUUACGGUCAUGUCAAGUCAAUGGUCUGUCUGCCUUGCAACCGGUCUUGAAUGGCUUCAGUGAAUUGUUUGCUGAGCCUACAGAGUGACCUCCUAGGAGGACAAUAGACCACAAAAUACCCUUACUACCAGGCACUAAACCUGUCAAUCAUUAGAGAAGGGACAGAGUUCAAGAUAAGACUAUCUUGCCUGUUUGGUAGAGAGAGUACCGGGUAUUCCGAUGGUUAAAGAUUCAAGUCUUAGUGGCAAAGGGGGACAGCUUUGGCCUGCAACCGUUUCCACUUUACGGCCCACAGCUUGUGUUCUUCGGUAUUAAUUCGGUUUCUGUUUGUUUGGCUUGUCUCGUGCACCACCUGAAUUGAAUCAUAGUAAUGGGACUUUGGUAAUCCAGUGAUGAAGUCAAUGCUGAUAAUGGACCAUGCUUCAUCAGGAAUGGGUAGAGGAUCGAAGAGGCCAGGGAGUUUUUAAUGUUCUACCUUAGCUUGCUGACAGAUUUUACACUUGUUGACAAAAGAUUCCACUGAUUGAAAGAUUCCUGUCCAAGCAAAUAGUGCCUUGAUGCGGUGAUAAGUAGCAGUAAUGCCAGAGUGGGCACCAAUACCACUGGCAUGAAGUGCUUGCAAGAUGUUUUUUUUCAUUUAGAAGUUUGCACCAACCCAUACUCUUCCUCUAUAUCGAAUGACCCCAUUAUGCAAUGAAUAUUUGCUAUUCUUGUGAGUGCUCAGGACUGCCAAUUCAGAUAGUAAAUUCUGGGUGAAUGUGUCUUUGCUGUACCCUGCAACAAUAUCAGUGAGCCAUUGUGGUUGACAGGAAGUAAUGGCAUUGAGUUCAUCUGGCUCAUGUAAUCUAGAUAGUGGUGCAUCAGCUGCCCUAUUCUCUGAGCCUUUUAUUGGAUGGUAUAUUGUAAUCCCAUGAGCUUGAGGAAAGGAAAGCUUUGUGCUGUGCUGCAUUGGUGUUUUAAGUCUUUGAGCAGUCAAAUGAGCUAAGCUCCUGUGAAUGAAACGCCUGUCCUGCUAAGCCCAAACUCUAAUGUGCUUUACUUGGAAGUAGGCCACUCUUUCACUGUGAGGAUCUUCUUUUAGUCUGUAGCCACCCCUUGCCCACUAAUGACAUGACCCAGGUAUUCUAUCUGUGGUUGAGCAAAUGAACAUUUAUUCAACUUCACAUAUAGUUGAUUCUGCUUUAGAAGGUCAAAUACUUGCUGCAAAUGGGUGACAUGAUCUUGCAAGGAUUUGCUGUAGAUUAAGAUGUCAUCAACAAAAACAAGUACACAAACCCUAGUCAGCUCAGCCAGAAUUGUGUUCAUAGCACUCUGGAGGGUGGGUGGUGCAUUUGUGAGCCCAAAUAGCCUAAAAUUCAUAGUGACGUGGGUCUUGAAUGCCGGUUUGUAUUCGUCUGCUUCAUGUAAUCUUAUCUGAUGGUAACCAGCUCUCAGAUCCAGCUUAGUAAACCAAACAGCACAAGAUAACUCAUCCAACAAUUCUUCAACUACAGGCAUUGGGUAUUUUAUUAGACGAAUCCAUCUUAUUUCCUUAUUUCUCUGUUUUGGUAGCAGGAGAAGUAGUUUGUUCAGCCCGGACUUCAAAGUAGUCUCCCCCGUUGACCUUCUUUUUUAGAUAGAAUCCUCAAUGAGUGGAAAGGACUCCCAAACUUGCUCCACAGUACUAUACCAUACAGAGCCGCGCCCUUGUGAUAUGAUAAGAAGAAAAGGGGCCAGGCCGCCCUCUUUUCUUUUCCGCACCAAGCCUUCUUGUAAAAUCGGGUGUAUAGCUCAGUUGGUAGAGCAUUGGGCUUUUAACCUAAUGGUCGCAGGUUCAAGUCCUGCUAUACCCAAAACAAAAAAAAACCACUCUUGUAUUCGUAAGGAUGCAUAGUAGCCUUCAAAGAGCACUCUUUGGCCUUGAGAAAAGCCCCUUUCUCAUCAACAUCUCGACUUCGCUCGUUGUUUGAGGUAAGUAUAAAGGAGAUCAGACUGGCUCGGUCAUUGAUAGGCCGGCCUUCUCCUUAUUCAUUGGAUAGGGCGCGGGGGAAAGUCAAGUCAAGCACUAGUUAGUUGGGGUGGGACGCACCAAAGCAGCGUUCGUUGCACUAGCGCCUUAUCUUUUGAAGCUAAACAGAGGCUCGAAAGACGAAGUACGUCCGAAGUCGUUGGCUGCCUUUUUGUAGUGCGCAAGUCAGAGUGAACUUCUUCUUCUGUUCUGCGAAUCUACUAACGAGAACUGCCGUACAGUCCUAUCUUUUUUUAAGAAAGAUCGUAGAUGAACGUUUCGUUUCGUUACCUAAGUAGUUGAGCAAUUCAUUCCAAGGUAAACAAAGAGGUAUUUCCUUUUCUCGUUCAGUCCUUCUCUCCUUCCAUCCCAGUAGGCCUAUUCAUGCUUUUUUGCUAUCCAUCUUGAUCAAAUAGAAGAAGGGGAAAUUCAGACUAGGCAAAACACCUCCAAAAGUGAAAAAAAGAUAAAACAACUUUCUUAUUGUCAAGUAGUAAACCAGAGUUCUCAUCCUAGGAAACCAUAUCGAUCAUCGGUUCAGAGCUCCCAACUACGAAGCUCUUUUCUAGAGCGAGUCAACAAUUCGUGGAUCCAUGGUUUGGAUGAAGCUAUGUACCCGGGUAGAGAUGAUUUGUCUCAAAGAUGUUCCGCUCAUCCAAGAAUCUUAAACUUCAUCUACAUAAACUCAUAAAUAGCCCUUUCCUUUCUUUUCUUGACUUAAAAAGGUAAUCAAUCCUUUCUUUUCAUCUUUUAUCAAGUCUUCCUCUUCCUGAUUGAGUCAAUCAGGGAUAGAAAUUCGGAUCAACUAUGAGGAGUAGGGCUGCUGGGCAAGUGAAUGAACUCUGUCCUAGGCAUUUCCAAUAAGUUCAGUGAAGUGAGGGCGAAGCCUUUUUUGAGAGGGAAAAUACACUCCAAAUGAUAUUCCAUAAUGGAAGGAAUGAGUGGAAGAUUUACUGGAAGAAAAAAAUACGAUACUUUUCUAGUCGUAGGUAGGGCUACCUAUCUAGUUUCGUGCUUCGGGCGUACCAGAUUCAAUAGGCUAGGUUAUAGCUGACAGAUUUCUUUAAGAACUAGCCGCCUAUAAGCCUCGCUAGUAGUAUUCCUGCCCAGUGCCGGAGUAGUGACUCACAAGGUAAGUUCUCCUCGAUGCAUUUCCAACACUCUCUUUUUCUACGUACACUUUGGAUUCCUCAGUAGGUAGGGACAACGUUCGAGAUCUCAUCCGACCGUCUAUUUCUCACUGAUUGGGAGAUUGGAUUGGAAUCCGAGGAGAACUGAUUGGAUGUCAUGGAACGAAUGGGGCACUACGUUGGUUACCCACUGCUAGCCUAGCGGAGAUUUCUCUAUUUGUUGAAAGUGGAAAGGAGUCAUAUUUGAAUCGGAAAGUUGGGCUCGUUCACUCACACCUUUCUUUGAUUAUCGAUGACUUGGCUUCUUGCUCAAGUAAGCACCCGGCAUACCAAUUCAUUAUCCUUGGGGCUCGGCUCGCUCCUUCCUAUCUACGUUAUUCUUUCUUUGUUACUCUCGUAAUGACGUUCCGAAAGAAAUCAAGGUUACCAGGUCACAGCUCUGAUUCUUCUUCCCUUAUAGAACCUUCUCGCAAGAAAUCAGUGGAAGUGGGUCCGCCCCUACAACUCAUCAAAUCUGCCUUCUUUUCUGUUCUGCGCUGUACAUAUUCUCAAGUUAUGAGAAAGAAUGGAUUUGAAUGCAAUUUUGAAUUAACAAAAUAAACGAAUGAAGAAUAUUUUUACCUCUUAUCUGAUAAGCAAUCAAAGCAUUUGAACUGCUCAAUGAACAAUAAAGAAAGAGCUAAGGUAAAAAAGUAUAUGUGUUACUAAUAGUAAACCAAUUUUAUUUGGAGUUUGCUUUCAGCUGAACAUGUUAUAACUACAAAUGAGGUGAGGCUUGAUUAGGUGGCUUUGCAAGAACUAGGGAGGAACACAAGUUAUGUACUUCAGGCUAAACAUAUGAAUUUAGAAGAUCAACUUUUCCAAUUGGACAUAAACAAAAGCAACCAAUAAUAUAUAUAUAUAAACUUCCAUAAUAUUUUCUCUAUGGUGAAGUAAUUUCAUUGAUAACCACUAAACGAUUAAGUAGCGAUGUAUGCAAAGCUAGACAACGAACAUUUCAUAAUACACUCGUUCUGCAUAUCUUUAGGAUAAAAGAAAAAACUGCGAAAAAAUAAGUUUUCCUAAAUAAAAAGAUCAAGAAAUCUAUUUUUUAUGGUUCUUAUUUCGUUGAAAACGUUUCCAUGAGACUUUCUUUCAUUGAAGAAGUCCAUGACUUGUUCUAGGUGAUAUGAGGUUGAACAGGCUUUAGAAAAAAUGCAAAGAAGGGUACAUGAGGGUGGAAUAAAAAUCAAAAAGAUGACCCCUUCUUUCUUCCUGAGCAUUACCGAUAAAUAUUCAUUCUUUAUACGUUAGGUUGGGUUUCAGAUGUAUAUCAUUUAUUAUAUGAAACCAAAAAGAAGAAAUGACAAGAAAGUUGUAUAUAGAUGGAGGAAUAAAUUAUGAUGUGGAAAACAAGGCUGGGGUUCAAAUCCUGUCAUCCCUACCUAUUACUUCUCCUAUGGGCAGUAACGAGGGAUCAAUUGAGAUCGAUUCAAAUUGGACAAAAUUCAGAGUUUCAUUUUUCUAUAUGCAUGCGGUACAAAAAUCAUCCUUUUCUUUACUGCUUUAUCUCCCGGAAAGCGCUCUUAGUUCAGUUCGGUAGAACGUGUGUCUCCAAAACCCAAUGUCGUAGGUUCAAAUCCUACAGAGCGUGAUUCUGUUCUUGUUAUGUCGAAUCAAAAAAAAAGAACUUAACAAAGUGGAAUGUACGACUACUGUUCUUAACCCAAAUCAAAGAAAACAACAGAAAUACUCGACCUGGAGAGGAGACCACUGACCAAUCUCCGUCCAUUUUCCCUUGCCUUUCCUUUACGGGUAUGCCUGUUUUAGGGGACCUUAUAGUAAUAAUAGUCUAAUAGACCAACUAGAAGAGGAGAGGAAUCCUUCAUGAAUCGCCUUGCCUUGCUUAAAGAGGUUUAUUAAAAACCGCCCAUGGAACUCUUGUUUUGAGGAAGCAAUGAACAUUGUCUUUUUCCAUUCUCAAUAAAUGAGGAAGGAGGGGUGAGGUCCUCACUUGCGAGUGAGGCAAGGCUUUCUUUUAUAAUACAUCCUACCCGAUUUUGGUUGACGAUUGCGUUCUAUUCCAAUUAUUCACUUGUUUUUCUUGUCACUGUGGCGAGACCAGAUGAGAGAGAGAACUAUUUUCCAUUUCCAGACAGACCCCGAGCCGAGGUUGGAACAAUUCUUUAUUUUCUUGUUGGUUCCUUCUUUAUUAUUUAUUCCAAGUUUUUCUCUUCCAUUCGGUUCAUUAGCUUUAGGAAAAAUAGAAGCUGCGGAAAUGCUCGCUUCUAAAAGGCUUAAAGGCUCUGAUCAAGGCAAUGAACAUUUUGCACUUGGAAACUAAUAAGAAAGGAAUUCAAAUCAUAGUUCAAUACAGACUUUUUCUCUUUUAAGAAGGGUGAAACUUUCCUUCCAAUACUUGUGCGCUCUACCCAUCUCUACUGAACAAACCCACUACACAUCGAGUGGCAGGGUAUGUGUGUAGGCCUUUUCAAGGACAUUCGAAACAACAUGUCGAUAAAUUGCUAUAGAAAGUGGGGCUAGAUCGAGAGUUCUGACCUUUUCGUGGGUUGGGUGAUCUUCAAACUCUUGUUUUUCUAGCGAAAGAACGCCCUUCUGAGCGAUGAUCUCCUACAAGCGAGUAUAGUAAGGUUGACUUCAAUUGAGAUAGAAAUGUCACUGGUCAGCUCCUUAGCGUGACAAUUAACACCACUUUCUUAUUACCUAAUAGAUUAGAUAAGGGAAGAAGGCAGGCCAAAGCUUAUAGAUUCGGAGAUCGUACUUCUAACGCUUUGUCUGAGUCAGUCCUACGACCCCUUCCGGCUGAGACACGAAUCCUAGCCUAUCUGAGUCGCAGAAUGAAGGGCUCUUCAGAAGGCGCCACCCAAGUCUCCUUUGAUACUUCGGAGUCAGGAAUUUUUUUUCCAAGGAAGGCGGAUUUUCUGCGUUCCGCAGCACGAACAGGAUGUACAGAAGAUCGAUGUGCCAUCUUUCUAACCACCUUCAUUUGUUGUAUGAUCAGUAGGGAAGGGAGCCUUUGAUAAAGGGACCCCAAACCAAGAAAUCUACUGUCUCAGAGCGACAGUCAAGCUCGUAUCGCGGAACUAGAACAUUUCUUUGAUUGAUAGGUCAGAUAGGAAGCAGGCAAGCAAACCAAGUUAUAGGUUUGGAAGUUAGAACUCGGAAAGGUUGUCCUGUGACUACCUUUGAAGUCUUUGGGUAGGACAUCAGGCUAAGGUCUUAUGAUGAGCCACGCGCAUAUGAGGUUUACUGCAGCCCUAAAGCUCUGUCCCCUAUCCUACCACUAGAUCUCCUAUGCCGGAACAUGAACAGAGAAAGCUGUGAGUGUAGUCUUAGGAACGAACCCGGGGUUGCUCUCGCAAAAAGAUUGUACUAAAGAAAGCUAGAAAGCUCAAUUCCAAGCUUUAAACCUCUGGUCCACGGGUCGGUGAACGAAUGGGUUUUGGGAAAUAGAGAACAUGGACUCGAUUGAACAAAGGUGGCACCGGAAUGAAUAGCCCACUUGUUUCGGGCAAGAAUGAAUGGGACUGAUCGACUCGAGUUACCGAGCGACCUCCACUCUUCGACUCGAGCUUUCGCUUCUGCUUUUCUCUUGUUUUGAUUUAUUAGCUUUUUAGGGAAAGAAGAGGGUCUGAAAUACAACUAUGUCUACGAGUGCCGCGAAUGAACCUUCGGUUCUUCCCAAGAACAAGGAGACACGAACUAAAUAACUCGUAUCAGGCUACGGGAAUAGUGAACGGGAAGAAGGAACUAGUGAGGCUUUCGUUGGUCAAACAAUAUGCCCUCCUCACUUGAGGAGAGUGAAGGUCAUGACUUAUUGAAGCAGAACGUCAAUUGGCCAAGAGAAGGGGAACUCCUUUCGUCGGUAACUAUUGAAUUGCCUAUCUAACAGUGGAGCGAAGCGGAACGUUGAACGGGAAACUCGUGUCGUCGGUUAUCCAAUUUCCCUCCUUUCUGUUUCGACAAAGAAAACGUUUAGGUAUCGGUAAUAGGAUUCCCACUAUGAUUUGAAGAAAAAGAUAGAUUCUAUAAUAAUCCAUAAAUAAUAUAUAGAAUCAGGCUCCGUAAUCAAGUGCUCGCUGUGAGAAGAAGAUCUACAGGCAUGUACCCAUUUCUCCCUGCAAAAUAAGUUUGAACCCGAGUGAGUAUGGACCAUACGCUCAUCUUUCUUCUCAAUCUACACCUCGUUCCGCGAGAGACCUAUCCUCGUUUCGAAAUAAAGGACCGUAGUGAGGAUCGAUCCCGGAUAAGCGAGUCAGUGUAGGGACAGAGGCUGAUGAUUCUAAAGGUGAUUUCUAACUACAAGAUGACUUUAUUUGAAAACGGAAUCCAAAUAUCAACAAAAAGAUGAAUGGAAAGUCUUGUCGAUAUGAAUUGAUCUUCAACCCAAUGACAAUGCUUCGAUUUCGAUCUUUACUUCUUUCUUGGAUGCCUGAAGUUUGUGUUCGCAUUUCAUCAAAGGAAAAGUGGGCUGUACCCACAUGAAGAAAAGAGUUGCUCGUGUAAAAGCAAUAUCUUCUAUUUGACUUAUCUAGCCGUGUCUUGUCUUGCACAUACUCGGCUCGGUGAAUGGUUCAUCUUCGAUUGGCAUGGUCCUUUGGAUGUAAGAGAUCUCGUUUGCUGGCCGGGCCCUUCCAUGAGUUUAGAUCUCUAUGUAUGAAUCUCUUAUGAAAUCCCAUACUUUUUAUCAUUUCAGAACGAUCAGCAUACUGUGUGACUUCUGCGUGACAGUUCUUGCAUUUCGUUUGUUGCUUUGCAUGAACAUUUAGAUAUUGGAAAGCGAACUCCCUGAAUUAGGAAUUUCAUAGAUAGAGAAGGACGGGCAAAAAGAGAGAGACUGACUAACUACCCGGAUCAAUGCUGAUUGACGACUGAAUAAAUAGCCGGAAGCAACAACUGCACGAGAGAGAAAGAGCGGAUCCAACUAAGGAAAUGCAGUACCUGUUCUGUCGGAGCUAAUCAUGCAAAGCUAGCGUAGCGCCAGCCGUCGAAGUGAAUGAAUUCGAAAGAACGAAGAAGUAAGGAAAUGAGACGACUCUUUCUUGAACAAUUUCAUAAGCAGAUCUUCCCCUCCACACCAAUCACGAGUUUUUUUUAUUCCUCUCGUAUAUCGUCGUCACGCCCUUAAUGAUAGGUUUUGAAAAAGAUUUUUCAUGUCAUUCCCAUUUAGGUUCGAUUCGGAUCCCUCUGUUGUUUCCCUUUCCUCCCGAACCUUUUCCUCGAAAUGAUAAAGAAUCUGGUACACUCGAAUUGUAUUAUUUAAGUGCUUAUUGCUUGCCAAAAAUCCUACUUCUACAAUUGGUAGGUCACCGGGUUAUUCAAAUAAGUCGUGUUUUCUGUGCUUUUCCCAUGUUACAACUUCCGUACCAAUUCGAUCGAUCCGGAAUGGAUCGGUUAAACAUUCUAUUAGGGAGCCCGGUCUUGACUCUUCUGUGUGGUAUUCAUUCUCGUUCGGCUCUUGGAAUCACAUCCAGCAGUGGUUGGAACAGCUCGCAAAAUCCAACCACUUCACCUACUUUAUUGCCCCCAACCGUUUCCCGUACCUCUAUAGAAACAGAAGGGUUUCAUGUUCUUUCAUCGAUUGGGUAUUCCUCUCCUUUUGUAUCUCUUUAUCCAAUUUCGGUCUCGAUUAGUUCACAAGAUUGAAUGGCCAAGUCAUGGAAAAGCCGUUAUUCGAUUGUUUUAAAAGAAUGUUGAGCCGGGCCCGGGUAUGUAAGUUCAGCGAUGUACAAACAAGGAUUUAUUUUACUUCCGCACCUAGGUUGGGGGGUUCUAUUUAGGAAGAAUAAGGAAGAGGAAUAGAAUCUCAUUCAUGUGUUCAUGCUAAUAGAAGAGCGGAUCCAAUACACAUAAGGCAUCGGUUGUUCUUAACAGCGAUGGCUAUUCAUUUAAGUCUUCCGGAACUUCGUGCGAAUCUACAGGUUUUGGAUGGAGUGGGUUAACGAGAGAUUUCCCCACAAGUCGGCCUAUAACUCACUCCCCGACUGACCUUUUAGCCGAGCUUGGGCUUUGUACCUCUUUCUCCUCUUUUCCCCUCAUUUCUCUUCUCGAUCAAGAAAGAGCGAUGGCUUUCGCUAGUCUACCGAGGUGGAAGCAUCAUAUAAGCAAUUCUGGAAAGUGCCAAUUCAAAUUUUAGGAGGAUCCUGCCCGAAGGUAUCAUACUCAUCCGGCGGGCAAUCGGCGCUUACUGCUAUCGGACAGAGAAUAAGCUUCUUGGCAUAGAUCCACGGUUUUAGAGCUAUUCGUCACAGGAAACCAUAUAUGUUCCGUCAUGUAUCUGCCGGUAGCCGCUAUUUUUGCUUUUCCUUUGCUGACGCCGAGCGAUCCCCCGAUUUCUACCUAGCGGAUUUCGUCACACAGUUGGUCCAGAUAGUUGAGUAGGGCAGCCCGUCGGACCCAAUCCGCCUGUCAACGCCACUUUCGUUACAAAUAUGAAAAAAGGUAAGGAUGCGCGACUGGGCCACCUUCGCGAUGCGCUACUAAAUGGUCUAUGGCUUUGUCUGGGUUUAUGGGCUAAGAGUAACCGCGGUGGUAAAAGGACAAGUGGAAGAUGAUCUCGAAUUGUUCUCUUUUCUUAACCUGGCCAAGUCGGUGGAAACGUGUUCAAGGUUGGAUCGAGAAGACUUUGUCGGUGGGGGGAAAGGAAGUGUAUUGAUAAAGUGUCUCUUGUCCAAGCCGUAUCUACAUAUUCUAUGUCAUGCUUCAAAUUACCGAGGGGCUUGUUUGUAUCAGCACAUAACGUCGCUGAUUAGAGCGUUCUGGUUUAGCAGCAAGAAUGGAGAAAGGAAGGAAGACGGCAUGGGUCUCGUCGGACUUGAUGACGAUGCCGAAGUAUAUGGGAGGCUUGGGAUUUAGAGACAUUGAAAUUGAGAAUUGGCUAGGCAAGCCUGGCGGAUUCUACAAGAUCCUAUGUCUCUUAGCGCCCGGGUGUUGAAAGUGGUUUAUUUUCCAACUGCUCCUAAGUGCUGCUCUAGGAAACAAACCGUAACAGAUAUGGACGGGAAUAAAAAAUUGACGCUGAGGAAACAAACCAUAAUUACGCAUGCACCACCUGUAAUUCACCUGGAUACUGUCUUGAAAAAACUACUUGCUUUUUGAAACUAUACAUCAGACUAUCAGGCAUUCAGGCUAUCAGGCAAGCAGUCAAGUAGGAGGGUGCCCAUGAAGAGGUUGUCUUACACCGCAUCCAGGUGCUGCAUCAUUACCAAUAAAAUCAGGCAACGAUGGCGGAUGUUAUCUUAAUUAGAGGUUCACUUUCCUUGGAUUGAAUAUUGGGGGUAUUUUGCAUGAUAGAUCAGGUGCCUAUUGAUACACCGAAAGAGACUAACGCUAUGCUCCACUUUCUUACUUUUAUUCCUCAGCUCGCUUACAAAAACUACAUAUUUUUUUUUUAGAUAUGGACCUGGGGUUCUCGCUUCUGCGCAAGCUAUUUCCGAACCUGCCUGCCUUCGGGGAGAUGGGUUGGGUCAUACGCGGGACCUACCCCGAGGAAGGAGGCUUGAGGCGCGCUAAAUACAAUUGUUUUAUCAACACGGGGUGGAGAAGGCAUUGCAAUUUCCUUCUUUUAUGAUUGCUUCGAUUCCUCUGAUUCUUCUUCUGACAGGAAUUACCAAUCCUUUAUUGGCUAUGUCAUCCUCUGUUUAGUAGAUGUAUGGUAUGGUAUGGUUACUAGGUAGUGUUGCUCGAUACCCGAGCUUGCACCAGUAUUAGCUGGCUAUUCCACUAUUGCCAAAAGAAUUCUGGCUAUUGGCUUUCCAGCUUUCACCUCUCUGCAGCUUCUGGAGCUGCUUAAGCGCUUAACUUCUACCAAAGUGUGGUAUACAUUGGAUGGAAUUAGAGUGGGCGUGGCUACCUACAUCGGGCAAGAAUAGGAGUCGUAUUUAGUUUUGUACCACCGAAUAAGAUAGCGAGAAAUCAGAUCAAGAAUGGAACCUGUGGACCCUCCGACAGUACGAGCCCUUGUUCGCUUGGUUGCUCAACCCCUAUCUCCCAGGCUACGACCUAUCGCAUUGCCUUCGAUGAGUCUAUAUCGGAUGGGUGUUCAAGUCUUUUGAAAAACCAGCCCAUUCUAGUCUAUCUGUCCCACUGCCUUUAGCUUCUUAAUUGGAAGUGCAAGGUGGACCCAUACACAACCACCAGAUCCUUUAGGUUUGUUCGAUCUAUCGAUAACUGAUAGACAGACGCCUUUGACACUUCCUCCAGGUGGAGUUGAUUAACACUCUCAUGGUUGGUCGAUGGAAAUAGCAAGACGAGACAGACAUGAUAAUCUGAUAAAUAUAUGUGGUGAUCCCUUAAGCAAUAUCUAAGAAUUCAAUGUGUCCAAGAUUCAAUUGAUUGGUUGAAGCCAAGGUCUCGAGCUAGUCCAUCUUCCUAUAUGAUAUUAUUAAUAAUGCGCAGCACCAAGCCUGAAAUUGGGGAAUGAAUUGAAUCGAUUGCCUUCCUUUCCUGAAUAGCUGGACGGACAAUAAAGAUAUUGGUACUUAACUGUAGGGACACAAAAGCUCUGAAUCCUUCAUUUGAUGAAUUUAUAAUCGAAGCAAGCAAGAGAUAAACAAAAGGUUAGGAGUUUGGAAUGACAACUAGUCACUUCUUGCUGAAGAUCUGUUCAGUGAAGGAAGCUUCACUAUAAUGUGUUAAUGCCAAUGGAAGAUAUGUUGCAUGUUUGGUGUCCAAAGAAAUGAGGAUACUGGAACUAGCUUCUGGGGUCCAAGGAUACCUCCGCCUUUCACUUUCAUAGGAACCCAGUCUUGUUCGAGUCAAUCUUAUUGAUGGUUAGAAGCAGAGUUCACGCUUUGCUCUAAACUGAGGUCUAGCCAGUAGAUAGUAGAGAGGAGGGCUAAAUCCAGGUUAAUGUCCCGUCGCUCAAUCCAUCUAUUUUUCUUUCGCGCUAGUGAACUCUGGCAGUUGGAGGAGGGAAAGGAGCAUACUUUUAUUACGCAAAUAGAAAGUGCGAACAAAGUAGUCAACUUACUGAAUCACCAGUGUCAAUCGGUUUUGAAGCGCUCGAUGGGCGUAGUUCGUCAUCAUCCUCUAUUGGCCUUGUAUCGACCAAGGGAAAAAGAAGGAAAGAAUCUCUGAGCGAGAGUGCCAAGAUGGGAACCUAUUCUUCGAUCGACUACCGUGCUUCUUAUCUUUUUCCAAUACUGCGAGCCAAAGGCACGCUGCUAUUUAGUCACAGUCACAUGCUCACCCUUGACUCUAUAAAUAAAACCAGUAGCUUGGGCUAGCGAGUAUAGUUCCUUGGCGCCGGGCCCUCAAUAAAGUCCAUCGUGGCCAUAUCCCAUGGUUUCUCUUUCUUAAUGCUGACCCCAAUGUUGAUCGACCGUGCUUAUUAUGAUAUUUUAUUCAAUUCAUACCACUCAAAGCCCAGGCCAUUGGCUGCGCCGCUUUCUGCAACUCGUAGUCACAAAACCUUAUUAAUCUAAGUGAUUUCUUGUCAACGGAUCGCUAUCGCUUACAAGAACGGAUGCAGAAAUGGGACACCUGAAGGUGAAACAAGAGACUCAUACCCAUGGUCAUCUGAUUGAUCUACUCGGCUUCGGUACUGAAAUGAAAAGGCCAAAGGCCAAACAAAAGACGUUUCGUCUGCUCCAGACGAGGUAAGAGCGAAUGAUCUUUUUCGUGAUUUCCAUCGUAAGAAGAUCGACUUGUAGAAGUCUAAAAAUGGGGAGCAAAGGAAGAGGCAGGCUGAGCUGACUCUUGUUCAAUAUCAUUCUCAUGAUGUGUGGUGCAAAGAGAAGAUUCUUGUGGAAAUCCCUUCUUUCUAGCUUGAUCAAUUUCUGUAAGAAUGAAGCUAGUGACAUUAAACUUCUGGCUCUUCAUUAUGAAGUCAACUACAUGCCAAGACCCUUUAUUCCAAGUAGAUUGCAUCUGCAUUUCCUUGGGGAAGAAAGUUCCGUCAGACGGUAGCUUAGCCAUUCAUCAGAUACAUGUCGGAGAUCCUUCUCUUGCGUAAUAGUAAUAUCGAUUGUUCCUCUACGAGAGCCAAGUGAACAAAGCCAAUUACACAGCGAGUGAUUAUACCGAGACUAAGAAACAGCUAGCAGUAUCGAUAUGACCGCAAUAAGAUAGUGAGUGAAGACAGUGCAGGUGUCGCAAGAGAAUAUCCACAUGUGUACUUUACUGUAACCACGGGCUUUGUGGCAUUCUAUCUUUAUCGAAGAGAGCUUAUUUCUCACUGUUUCUACCAUUCGAGGGGGAAGCCAUUACGAGGAUGCGAGCUUGCCAACAGAAGAUUUUCCGAUUGGAAGUCCCGGCAAUGGCGCAAGCAGGCCAAGAACUGGAAGCAAAGCGGGUUAUUGACCACACAGCUAUAGUCAAAUCAGAGAAGAAUCCACGGCACAAGCCUAGUGUGAAUAAGAAAGUGGAUGUCAAAAGAAGAGUGGGAUAAAAGUCAAGUAGGGAAAUGACUUGCCUAAGGCAUUGAGAAAACCAAAUCCUCCACCAGCUCCCCUUAAAGACAGGCAGAUGUGAGCAGUAAUAGCGAGCUAUGAAAAAGUGAAUCCACCAGUUGCAGCUUUAGACUGACUAAAUGCUCUUUACUUCCCUUUCGUUUAGUUUCGAUCCAUCCGUGCUUAGAGGAGAGAGGAAAGCAAGAAUCAGAACCCAUUUGAAUCUCCCUUUCAUUUGGUAAAUAUAAGGCUAAUGUGGUGGGACUGGGAGGCAGCCAACCCUGCGUAGUGCUAGACUAGAACACGGUCAGCCGCAUGAAAGCGUAGCUACAUUUCUCUUAUUCUUUUUUAGCAAAGGCAUGAGAUCCUAGUCUUAUGACUACUCCAGUCAUCUCAAAUUAAGUACUAUGCACAUACUAUUCUCUAAUAGGGAGGAUGUACCAGUAUUCCAUAUCGCUAUCUUCUGAUUUCAUUAGACUAACGUAUGCCGCCUUGGAGGUUUCCUCCUCCGAACGCGAAGGACUUCGAUUUUCCGUCAACAAAGUAACGCUGUGCAAACUCAUCUGAUCCCACCCCGAAGCUAUUCUCUCACCUUGUAUAUCUCCUAUUGUCCCAAUUCCUACUUCCUUUGGUUUCAGCUCCGACAUAACCUCUCUUAGUACCCCACUAUCUGUUUUCUGUUGGUCAUUAUGCUGGUGAUCAAUAUAACCUGUCGAGGACAGACUACUGGGCUGUAUGUGUCACAUCUGACACCAGCGCAAAUGGUUAGUGAAUUGAUACAUAUUUAGCCAUUCAACUUGCUAAUAUUGGAGUGCUUUCACUGAUUGCUUCUGAUGGGGAGGCACAAAUGCUUCGGUUACAGCGGAUAAUCAGUUGUUUGACAAGACUUAUAGUGCACUUUUCUUCCUCUUGUUUUACAGCAUAAAGUAUUGUAACAGAGUUUAUCUGUUAAAGCCCUAUGCGAAAGAAAGUAAGGUGUCAGUGCCAAAGCUUCUUCUCAAGCAUCAACACAUCAGACGAAUAGGAAUCGAAAGCCAGGAAAGCAACAUCAAAGACUGGAGAAGUAGGCGAGUCAAGGCAAGGAAUUUCAGUUCUAGUAUUUCUCGUUGCUAGGUAGGUCUCACUAUCUCUUCAUUCAGUAGUUGAAGCUUAUCCGUAGAGAAGUUAUGUUACAGAAGUAGGAGAAAAUCGAUCUACAUUUUCAUUCACUUGAAUUCGUAGAUCAAAGGUUUACGGUUACCAACUCGCCCCGGGUGGGUUCUAGGAAUGAGAGCACUUAUGUAUCGAGGGGCUUUAGCACAAAAUGAAGUAGCUAGCUAGCUAACUAAGCUAUGAUGGAAGGACGGGGCUAGGGGAAGCAAAUCUCAUUGAUUACUUAUAAUGCCGGAUGAAGCAAGUUACAGCAUUGGUUCUUUCGUGAUUCACGUAUAUUGGAAAUCUCUUUCUUUAGGAAAUGGGAUGGCAUUCAAUUCUAACUUAGGGAUUCUCUUCUUCCUGAACAUUCAUGAAAAGAAGGACUCUGGCUUUAAUGCUAAAGUUUAGUACUGGGCCGAGCGUACUUACCUACUAGGACUCGGCGGGAUACUUAUAGAUCUCUAUGAGCGUAAGGCAAAGUGGGCAAGACUACUUCCACAACUACAUUUUCGCUUAAGCAGGACCUGUGAGACCUCGAAGCAACCGUCUACUACUAGUUAUAGAUGCUAUUUCUAAUUGAAUAGAAUGGAUGCUUCACAGCGGUUCUGCGACAGGCAGGGCAGCCGGGUGAACAUAGGCAGCUGUUCCUAUAGAACACAAGUCUUUCUCUAAAGCACGACCUUCCGAUUGGACUACGUCUGGUCUCUAUCCUUUUUAUUCCUAAAAUGGGUCCUCGAUCAAAAUGAUCUGGUGUCUAUGUCCAUGCCUGAGGUUGGUAAACCCUAUAUCUAUUGCGGGGUGGUUUGAGGAAGGGACAGCUUGUAACCCACGACUUACUACUACGAAGAUUCUGGCGGAGAGCUUUUCACAUAUAGAUAGGUCGGGAUGAGGAAGCUCCGUAGUCAACUAAUAGAUAGAAAAUCCACCUUGUGAACCGUGUUUGUCUUAAAGUACCGUCUGAGAAGGAAUAUACCUGUUCCAAUCCCUCUAGUGGCUAUACUGAUUGACAUAGGUAGCUUUCGUAGUCAAAGCUCACAGGGCCAAAUGCUCUAUUGGAGUGGGCACGAACACACACAAUCAAGGUUCGAAGAACUUCUACUUCACGCCUUGAGGAUUCUAUGACGCUCACUCAAUGGUGUUGUGGCGAUUGCAAGCAAUCAAUAAACGAGGAAGCCAAAUUAUGGAUCCAGGAAGGCUGCAUCAGAAGGAAGAGUAGGUGUUGCUAUGCCGUUGGCUGGGACUGAGACAGAGAGAGGGGAGCAUAGCCCCUAUGAUCCCGGUAAAGAGUUCCAACUAAGCUCUUCUCAGGUUCUUUCUUUCUCUUCCAUUCUUAUGUUUAUAUAUUAAAGUGUAGUUUUCUUACUUAAAUAUAAUAAUAUGAAUCUAAUAUGCCCAUUGGUGUUCCAAAAGUACCUUACCGGAUUCCCGGAGAUGAAGAAGCGACUUGGGUUGACUUAUACAAUGUUAUGUAUCGAGAAAGGACACUUUUUUUUUAGUUCACUGCCCUAUACAUAGAAAGAAGUGCUUUUCCACCGGUAUCAACAUUCUAUCUGGAAUCAGUAGCGAUAAUUGUUGUAUUGUGAGCCAGCCCCGUAAGACACUACGCACCUCCAAAUUAAAUAUGAUUUUUCCAAUCAUUUCAUUUAUACGACCUGCAAAUAAGAUAAGAUCUUGGCUCGCCCUACAAAAAAACAACUAUAUGCCCUAUAAACUUGCUUGCUUCUUCGAAUCUCGAAAUAACAUAUAGAAAGUGUUGAUGUGAUGAGACCAUUCUCGAUCGAUAAAUGCGAUAGGAGCCUAUGUGUUUCACGGGCAGCCGGCCAAUAGGGGAAGGUUGUGAAUCCGGCGAACCGACCGCUUUAAGAACGUGAUUGUCUUCUCUCACUCAGUUAUCAAUUGACAAAGAUGACCCAUUCUUUUUCGCCCUAAAAACAACAAUGGUAUGGUACUUUUUCUUCAAAUCUCGAUUGUGUGGGUGUCCGCUCAUGUUCACGUUACAUGCUAAAUCAGGCUUUCCUUGGAAAAACCAAGGACAACCCCUAUCUCAGUCUCCUUUCUCUUUUCGGGAGCAGAGCUGAAAAAGAUGGAGUUACCUGGAGAUGAGAUUGAUUUCUACGGAUAUGAAGGAUAGAAAUAUGCUAUUUGCUGCUAUUCCAUCUAUUUGUGCAUCAAGUCCGAAGAAGAUCUCAAUCUAUAAUGAAGAAAUGAUAGUAGCUCGUUGUUUUAUAGGCUUUCUCAUAUUCAGUCGGAAGAGUUUAGGUAAGACUUUCAAAGAAACUCUCGACGGGAGAAUCGAGUCUAUUCAGGAAGAAUUGCAGCAAUUCUUCAAUCCUAACGAAGUAAUUCCGGAGGAAUCCAAUGAAGAACAACGAUUACUUAGGAUCAGCUUGCGAAUUUGCAGCACCGUAGUAGAAUCAUUACCAACGGCACGCUGUGCGCCUAAGUGCGAAAAGACAGUGCAAGCUUUGUUAUGCCGAAACCUAAAUGUAAAGUCAGCAACACUUCUAAAUGCCACUUCUUCCCGCCGCAUCCGUCUUCAGGACGAUAUAGUCACAGGUUUUCACUUUUCAGUGAGUGAAAGAUUUGUAUCCGGGUCUACGUUCAAAGCUUCUACCAUAGACCUAAUUCGAGAAGGCUUGAUAGUCCUAAGAAA
rnacentral:lncRNA from 1 species